GCUUCGGCUGCGAGAAUUUCUCUGUACUUUCUUCAUUCGAAAUUCAAACUCAGAAGUAGGGGGACUGGUGUUGGGUAUAAAAUACCUCCCAACCGAAGUUUGUGUCAGGAGUGACCCAUCGGGGAUUCUACCGACGUCCAACCAGCAGGGCAACUUCUCUCCUGCGGCCAGACUCCGUCCGACUCCUACGGGAGCCGAACCUCGUCCUCGACUCCAAC
rnacentral:lncRNA from 1 species